CGCCAAGUUCGUCCAGCGGAAAAAGGCCACAAAAACGGGUGGGCUAUAGCCUUGGGGGGUGGGGCUGGCCAACUUCGUCCGCCGGACUCGGAAUGCCGCGAGACUUUGCGAGGGGCCUCCGUGUGCCAAAAAUAGGCCGCGGACAAAGCCUCGCCCAAAAAUAACCGCCCGAAGGCCGGGGCGCCAAGUUCGUCCAGCGGAAAAAGGCCACAAAAACGGGUGGGCUGUAGCCUUGGGGGGUGGGGCUGGCCCACUUCGUCCGCCGGACUCGGAAUGCCGCGAGACUUUGCGAGGGGCCUCCGUGUGCCAAAAAUAGACCGCGGGCAAAGCCGCGCCCAAAAAUAACCGCCCGAAGGCCGGGGCGCCAAGUUCGUCCAGCGGAAAAAGGCCACAAAAACGGGUGGGCUAUAGCCUCGGGGGGUGGGGCUGUCCCACUUCGUCCGCAGGGCUCGGAAAGCCGCGAGACUUUGCGAGGGGCCUCCGUGUGCCAAAAUUAGGCCAAGGGCAAAGCCGCGCCCAA
rnacentral:lncRNA from 1 species